rnacentral:lncRNA from 8 species
CUCGAGGCCACUGCCAGCAGCACACACUCUGAUGCCUUUCGGGCACUUGUCUUGAUUCCAGUCAUUCAUUCCUCGUAAGAGACGUGAUGAAAGCAGAGGUUGAUGGUGGAGGUCGCCGCUUGAUUAAUGUUGGAUCCCAUAAGACCCAAGGGUUUGGAAAAGUCCCACUCGUUGGGAAAAGUCCUAUUGAUUCCAGAGGAGUAGAGCUGGAUGGCGAGGCUGCUGGCCCGCUGUGGGUAACUCUUCUUCCACAAUUUGGCUCGAGUAGAAGCGAAGCUCCUUCCGCUCUUCAAGGAGGCCUGAUCAUAGUCCUGCCACCUCCCCGGGAACUGUCCCACCUUCAACCACAAAUGCUGGCCACUCGCAAGCGAGAUGAAAAAGUUUCUAAGGCCACAAUGUGGUCACCGCCGAGUGGUUUUAUCAUCCCUGUGCCAUUAACUCUAAAAUGACCAGAGGAUUUGCCAUGGAGGAGGAGGAGAAGGAGAUUUAAGGAGACAAAGAAACGUGUACAACAUGCCUUAGCUAUUGGUUAGCUUUCAAGGGCCAUGCUGUUGAGGACGGCAAGGAUCCUCGCCGAACGGCCGUUCGAGGAAGAAGAUAGCAGCAUAGAGGUGUCAUGACUUCCGCCGAAGUCGGUCCCUCUCCUUGUUCGGGCGGCGUUCGGCGGUCGAUGUCACCGGCCUUCUAGCCAUCGCCGAUCCACUUUUCAUUUUCCAUUUGUUUUGUCUUUGUUUUACACACCUGGUUUCAAUUUCCCAGUUACUUGUUCAUUAUUUAACCCUCUGUUUUCCCCAUGGUUUUUGUGCGUGUUUGUUUUAUGUGUUUCUGUCCGUUUGUGUGGGCUUGGUAUAUCUACAUGUAUUUGGCGAUUUUUGAGUAAAGUUACUUUUAUUACUCAUCUCUGCUGUCCUGCGCCUGACUCCUCUGCACCAGCUACACACAGAGCAUUACAAGAGGAUGAAGGUGCUGCAACAGAAGCUCAAGCAACUCCAAACCUGGCGACAACUUUGCCGCAAGCCAUCAGCAUGUCAACAGAAAAAAAGGAAAAAACGAAAAUCCUCUGAGUUCUCACUGUUUAACAAGUUAAACAGUUGUAACAGUACAUUCAACAGUUAUACAUGUGUAUGCACAUUAUCUUUAUAUUUUUUCGCAACAGGGUACAUUUGUACUCCUGAACUUAUUUAGGCUUGCCAUAACAAAGAAUUUAAAGACAUUUCAGCUUUUCAUUUGUAAUUGUUUUUGUAAAAAAUUUGAAUAGAUGGAUUUCUCAAGUGCAAAAAUGUGUAUGAAAGCUACUAUUGCACUGCAGACAGCUGCUGCUGUUGCAGAGGAAUGAUUUCUGACAUAGUUCAGGUUGAAUUAAGAAGAAGCUUGUGUCCUUGCAGAACCGUCUCUCUCGUUGAAUGACAAACAACUUAAUUGAAAAAUCAUGUCCAUAGUUCCUGCCCCUACUGUUGACCAAUCACUGACGAAGGGGCGUUGACUUAGGCUAUCGAACUUCGACCUCAAGAAAAAAAUGUGCGUUCCCUUACAGCCCCCCCCCCCCUCCAAAAAAAACUUCCAAAGAACAAAACUAACAGAAACUGCAAAAUAAUGAUCAUAAUAUAAUAUAAUAUAAUAUAUGCACGAACCGGGGGGCGAUGUUUAGACUGGAAAGUGUGCGACAGGCUUUAAAACUGCAAUAUGUAAUUUGUUUGGGCAACCCGAUAGAAAUGUGUUAUAGAUCUGUCAUUCCCAUUGACAGCAAGUGGUAAGUCUAUUGUUUGUGCGCCAUUUCUAUGAUCCAUUUUUGCAUCUUUUACAUUCGGUUUUUUACACCAGCUUCAAACAGCUGAAAAUACAAUAUUUUCGGAUAUGGAAAAUAUAUUUCAUAGUGGUUUAGAUGGUACAAUUUUUCUUUACACUAUACUUGCUUUUUUUUGCCACAUAAACUGAAAUUCAGUGGACUAUUCGAAUUUUAGCAACAAGGAAAUGGCGGAAGAUUUCUGCAUAGUGCAUCUUUAAGCAGAAUUCACAUUUUUGUUGGACCUUUUCUACAAUUGGAUGAAUAAAGUGAUCUUCAUCCUAAUCUUUUUCACUAACAAACCAAAAGCUUGGAUAUUUAUUAAUCCAUUAAAUGCCACAUCAUCGUUUAUCACGAAGCAUCUUUCGUCACGAAGCAUCCUUACCUAUUUAUUUAUUUAGUCACAAAGCAUUCUUACCUAUUUAUACUCUAAAUCAUACAUUCCUCACUGUUAAUUUGCUCAUAAUCUAUCGUUCUAUGUUCACGUAUUUAUUUUGUAUAUAAUGUAGCUAUGUAAACUUAGUAAAUUCCUGUUUGUUUCUGUCGCUAUUUUGUCUAUUGCUAGCAGCACUACGUCACCAAGUAACAUUCUGGGUAUGUGUAAAUGUACUUAGCGAAUCAAGGUGAUUCUGAAAUAUUUCAAGCUAGGUCCACUCCAAGUUCAUAAAAGGCCACUGAUUGGAACGGCUAGUUUCUAGACAGAAACAAGUGUACUUCUAUUAGAGUAGGUCCCAGACUGAAUCAGUAGCAGUAGUAGUAGUAGUAGGACCCAGACUGAAUCAGUAGUAGUAGUAGUAGUAGUAGUAGUAGUAGGACCCAGACUGAAUCAGUAGUUGUAGUAGUAGUAGUAGGUCCCAGACUGAAUCAGUAGUAGUAGUAGUAGUAGUAGUAGUAGUAGUAGUAGUAGUAGUAGUAGGACCCAGACUGAAUCAGUAGUAGUAGUAGUAGUAGUAGGUCCCAGACUGAAUCAGUAGUAGUAGUAGUAGUAGUAGUAGUAGCAGGUCCCAGACUGAAUCAGUAGUAGUAGUAGUAGUAGUAGUAGUAGUAGCAGGUCCCAGACUGAAUCAGUAGUAGUAGUAGUAGUAGUAGGUCCCAGACUGAAUCAGUAGUAGUAGUAGUAGUAGUAGUAGUAGUAGUAGUAGUAGGUCCCAGACUGAAUCAGUAGUAGUAGUAGUAGUAGUAGUAGUAGUAGGUCCCAGACUGAAUCAGUAGUAGUAGUAGUAGUAGUAGUAGUAGGUCCCAGACUGAAUCAGUAGUAGUACUAGUAGUAGUAGUAGUAGUAGGUCCCAGACUGAAUCAGUAGUAGUAGUAGUACUAGGUCCCAGACUGAAUCAGUUUCCAUCCAAUUUACCUCAGAUAAAAAAAAAUAUGCACAUUUUCCCUCCAGAUGUGAGCUUCCAUCAAACUGAUUUGUUGCGCACUUCAUGACAGUAUACAUAAAAAUCACUUAGUUGUAUAGUUUUUCAUUUACACAAAGAAAUAAAAUAUCUGUCCUAUUUUUGUCUCCCUUUGAUGGGUUUUGGCCAAAAAAAGUCUGUGAUAAACAGCAAAUGUGCCCACUCUGGUCAUGACAUGUGUACUCUAGCCAACAUCUCACAAAUACACUGCGGAGGGUACUCUACAUGAUGUGGGCUAUGAAUAAGAGCAGGAUCAUUUGUAUCUGGUCAAUUGGCAGCCAAGCAUCAAUCAUCAUGUCACCACCAUACAAAUGAAGACACUUGAUAGUUAUUGGAAACUAGCGUCAAGCUCAUCACUGUGCACUUUCACCAACCUAUGAAGUUCAUCAUAAUUUAUUUCAUCGGUGUAAUAUUCAUAUGUGAAUACAUACUGAAUUAUAAUUGGAUGCAUUUUACCGCCGUAUCAUACUGUGCGGUGAUUGGUUAAGACCACCCAGACGGUUAGGUCAUGGGCAGUUGAUCGUGGUUGGAAAUAGGCUAACAUGUAGUUGUAACUAGUUAAUAAAGAGUUAUGUUAAGAAACAUCCUGUGGUUCUGCGUUUUAUUAUUUUGUACAAAGCGUACAAAACAAAACAAUCGGUAGCCUAAUAAACUGCAUGCUUUACCAAGUCGCAGUGGGAGGACCACACAACAUAGCAUCACGCGUCUACAAGUUUACUUCCACAUGAUGGUUAUUAUGUCAAUAUUUGUGCAUAAAAGUGUUUCCAUAGCAAUUGUCGCUAAUCUAUUUCACUGACCAAAAAAAAUCCACCUUGUGUAGUUUCUUUUCUUUUGUCGGCAUUUGAAAAGUUUAGACCAAUUUGCUGUUUCCAUCAGGCCUGUCGUGACAUUCUUUUUACCCGACAUGUACUUUACUCUCAUAAAAAGGUCGGACGGAACCUAGUUCUCAGAAAGGUUUAUGCGAAUAUAUUCUAAAAUCCACAUGAAGAAAAUAUUCACAUUUUUACCAACAGGGGUGUUUAACCAAACUGACUUGUUGCAGAUAAUAAGCAGUGCGUGAUGACAGUGCAUAUUAAAAUAUACUUUUUCUGCUUACGUUUUCAUGUACCGAAUAAAAAUCUAAAGUUCAAAGUGUUUUC